GUAAGGCGGGGGACUGCAAAUCCUUUUUCCCCAGUUCAAAUCCGGGUGUCGCCUGAUCGACAAGAGAAUUG
rnacentral:tRNA from 1 species